rnacentral:tRNA from 1 species
GGGGUUGUGGUGUAGCGGCAGCACAGCGGCCUUUUAAGCCGGGGAGCGGGGGUUCGAGUCCCUCCAACCCCA